AGAACGAACGCUGGCGGCAUGCCUAAUACAUGCAAGUCGAACGAACUCUUCGGAGUUAGUGGCGCACGGGUGCGUAACGCGUGGGAAUCUGCCCCUUGGUUCGGAAUAACAGUUGGAAACGACUGCUAAUACCGGAUGAUGACGAAAGUCCAAAGAUUUAUCGCCAAGGGAUGAGCCCGCGUAGGAUUAGCUAGUUGGUGAGGUAAAGGCUCACCAAGGCAACGAUCCUUAGCUGGUCUGAGAGGAUGAUCAGCCACACUGGGGCUGAGACACGGCCCAGACUCCGUACGGGAGGCAGCGAGUAGGGAAUAUUGGACAAGUGGGACGAAAGCCUAGAUCCAGCAAUCGCCGCGUGAGUGAUGAAGUCCGUUAGGUGUAAAGUCUACGUUUUACCGAGUAGUGAUAAUGACGAAGUAGUACGGAAGAAC
rnacentral:rRNA from 1 species